rnacentral:rRNA from 1 species
UCUAAAGAGACUGCCGGUGUCAAAACCGGAGGAAGGUGGGGAUGACGUCAAGUCCUCAUGGCCUUUAUGACCAGGGCUACACACGUACUACAAUGGCCGGUACAAAGGGCAGCCACUUAGCGAUAAGGAGCCAAUCCCGUAAAGCCGGUCUCAGUCCGGAUUGGAGUCUGCAACUCGACUCCAUGAAGUUGGAAUCGCUAGUAAUCGCAGAUCAGCACGCUGCGGUGAAUACGUUCCCGGGCCUU